rnacentral:rRNA from 1 species
GACAGAGGUCCCGAGCGUUAGGCGGAAUCACUGGGCUUAAAGCGUGUGUAGGCGGACUUCUAAGUCCCUUGUGAAAUCCCACGGCUUAACCGUGGAACUGCUUGGUAUACUGGUUGUCUUGGGCCAUCUAGGGGCUACUGGAACAAACGGUGGAGCGGUGAAAUGCGUAGAUAUCGUGUGGAACGCCAAUGGUGAAAACAAGUAGCUGGGGAUGUGCCGACGCUGAGACACGAAAGCCAGGGGAGCGAACGGG